rnacentral:tRNA from 1 species
GCUGGUGUGGCGGAACAGGCAGACGCCCGGGACUUAAAAUCCCGUGAGGUAACACUCGUACCGGUUCGAUCCCGGUCACCAGCACCA